CGGGGUAUAGUCAAGUGGUAUGAUACGCGGUUUGGGACCGUGUGGCGUCAGUUCGAUUCUGACUACCCCGA
rnacentral:tRNA from 1 species